CCUACGGGAGGCAGCAGGGGGGAAUAUUCCGCAAUGGGCGCAAGCCUGACGGAGCAAUACCGCGUGUGGGACGAAGGCCUUAGGGUCGUAAACCACUGUCAGAAGGGAAGAAACUGACGGUACCCUCAAGAGAAGCACCGGCUAACUCUGUGCCAACAGCCGCGGUAAGACAGAGGGUGCAAGCGUUAUCCGGAUUUAUUGGGCUGUAAAGCUCUGUAGGUGGUUCUAAUAAGUCCUGGGGUGAAAUGGUUGAGCUCAACUUCGAAAUGCCUCGGAUACUGGUGAUCUAGAGUAUGUUAGGGGUUAGUGGAAUUUCCGGUGUAGUGGUGAAAUACGUAGAUAUUCGGAGGAACACCAGAGGCGAAGGCGACUAACUGGGGCGUAACUGACGCUGAGAGACGAAAGCGUGGGG
rnacentral:rRNA from 1 species